rnacentral:rRNA from 1 species
UACGUAGGGGGCAAGCGUUGUCCGGAAUCAUUGGGCGUAAAGCGCGCGUAGGCGGCUCAGUAAGUCCGCUCUGAAAGCUUGGGGCUUAACCCCAAGAGGCGGGCGGAUACUGCUGGGCUCGAGUCCGGAAGAGGCGAGUGGAAUUCCUGGUGUAGCGGUGAAAUGCGCAGAUAUCGAGAGGAACACCUGCGGCGAAGGCGGGUUGCUGGGCUGACACUGACGCUGAUGCGCGAAAGCCAGGGGAGCGAACGGG